GACGAACGCUGGCGGCGUGCCUAAUACAUGCAAGUAGAACGCUGAAGGAGGAGCUUGCUUCUCUGGAUGAGUUGCGAACGGGUGAGUAACGCGUAGGUAACCUGCCUGGUAGCGGGGGAUAACUAUUGGAAACGAUAGCUAAUACCGCAUAAUAGUAGAUGUUGCAUGACAUUUGCUUAAAAGGUGCAAUUGCAUCACUACCAGAUGGACCUGCAUUGUAUUAGCUAGUUGGUGGGGUAACGGCUCACCAAGGCGACGAUACAUAGCCGACCUGAGAGGGUGAUCGGCCACACUGGGACUGAGACACGGCCCAGACUCCUACGGGAGGCAGCAGUAGGGAAUCUUCGGCAAUGGACGGAAGUCUGACCGAGCAACGCCGCGUGAGUGAAGAAGGUUUUCGGAUCGUAAAGCUCUGUUGUAAGAGAAGAACGAGUGUGAGAGUGGAAAGUUCACACUGUGACGGUAUCUUACCAGAAAGGGACGGCUAACUACGUG
rnacentral:rRNA from 1 species